GGGAAAGUGGCUCAGUGGUAGAAUGCUUGCCUUGCAUGCAAGAGGCCCUGGGUUCGAUUCCUCAGUACCA
rnacentral:tRNA from 1 species